CCUAGUGGUUAGAGUGUAGAGGCGGCAGGUAGCCUAGUGGUUAGAGUGUAGAGGCGGCAGGUAGCCUAGUGGUUAGAGUGUGGAGGCGGCAGGUAGCCUAGUGGUUAGAGUGUAGAGGCGGCAGGUAGCCUAGUGGUUAGAGUGUAGAAGGCGGCAGGUAGCCUAGUGGUUAGAGUGUAGAGGCGGCAGAUAGCCUAGUGGUUAGAGUGUAGAGGCGGCAGGUAGCCUAGUGGUUAGAGUGUAGAGGCGGCAGGUAGCCUAGUGGUUAGAGUGUAGAGGUGGCAGGUAGCCUAGUGGUGGUUAGAGUGUAGAGGCGGCAGGUAGCCUAGUGGUUAGAGUGUAGAGGCGGCAGGUAGCCUAGUGGUUAGAGUGUAGAGGCGGCAGGUAGCCUAGUGGUUAGAGUGUAGAGGCGGCAGGUAGCCUAGUGGUUAGAGUGUGGAGGCGGCAGGUAGCCUAGUGGUUAGAGUGUAGAGGCGGCAGGUAGCCUAGUGGUUAGAGUGUAGAGGUGGCAGGUAGCCUAGUGGUUAGAGUGUAGAGGGGGCAGGUAGCCUAGUGGUUAGAGUGUAGAGGGGGCAGGUAGCCUAGUGGUUAGAGUGUAGAGGCGGCAGGUAGCCUAGUGGUUAGAGUGUAGAGGGGGCAGGUAGCCUAGUGGUUAGAGUGUAGAGGCGGCAGGUAGCCUAGUGGUUAGAGUGUAGAGGCAGCAGGUAGCCUAGUGGUUA
ensembl:lncRNA